UCCGUAGGUGGAUAAUUAAGUCAGAGGUGAAAUCCUGCAGCUCAACUGUAGAAUUGCCUUUGAUACUGGUUAUCUUGAGUCAUUAUGAAGUGGUUAGAAUAUGUAGUGUAGCGGUGAAAUGCAUAGAUAUUACACAGAAUACCGAUUGCGAAGGCAGAUCACUAAUAAUGUACUGACACUGAGGGACGAAAGCGUGGGGAGCGAACAGGAUUAGAUACCCUGGUAGUCC
rnacentral:rRNA from 1 species